rnacentral:rRNA from 1 species
GUCUACAGUCAUACUGCCGUGAAUGCGUCCCAUCUCACGUGAUCUUGGAAAGUAAGCGGGGUUGGGCUGGGUUAGUACUUGGAUGGGAGAAAUAAACAGAAAGAAGGAUGUUCUACAGA